CUCGAAAGAGAACCUGCACACAGGUGCUGCAUGGCUGUCGUCAGCUCGUGUCGUGAGAUGUUGGGUUAAGUCCCGCAACGAGCGCAACCCUUGCCAUUAGUUGCUACGAAAGGGCACUCUAAAUGGGGACUGCCGGUGACAAACCGGAGGAAGGUGGGGAUGACGUCAAGUCCUCAUGGCCCUUAUAGGUGGGGCUACACACGUCAUACAAUGGCCGGUACAGAGGGUAGCCAACCCGCGAGGGGGAGCCAAUCCCACAAAGCCGGUCGUAGUCCGGAUCGCAGUCUGCAACUCGACUGCGUGAAGUCGGAAUCGCUAGUAAUCGCGGAUCAGCAUGUCGCGGUGAAUACGUUCCCGGGUCUU
rnacentral:rRNA from 1 species